CCCCUGGAGGACUAGUGGUUAGGCCAUGGCACUCUCACUACAGCGGCUUGGGUUCGAUUCUCGGCCAGGGAA